rnacentral:ncRNA from 2 species
CUCUUAUGAAGAGAGGUUGAGGGACUGGCCCUAUGACACCUCGGCAACCUAUCGCAAACGAUACGGUGCCAAAUCCAGCGGAAUUAUUCCGACAGAUAAGAG